GUGGGGAAUAUUGCGCAAUGGGGGAAACCCUGACGCAGCGACGCCGUGUGAGGGAAGAAGGCUUUCGGGUCGUAAACCUCUGUCGGGAGGGAAGAACCUUCCAGGUCUGAACAAGCCCUGGAACUGACGGUACCUCCAAAGGAAGCACCGGCUAACUCCGUGCCAGCAGCCGCGGUAAUACGGAGGGUGCAAGCGUUAAUCGGAAUCACUGGGCGUAAAGCGCGCGUAGGCCGCCUUUUAAGUCGGACGUGAAAGCCCUCGGCUCAACCGAGGAACUGCGUUCGAAACUGGGAGGCUUGAGUCCUGGAGAGGGUGGCGGAAUUCCGGGUGUAGGAGUGAAAUCCGUAGAUAUCCGGAGGAACACCGGUGGCGAAGGCGGCCACCUGGACAGGUACUGACGCUGAGGCGCGAAAGCGUGGGGAGCAAACAGGAUUAGAAACCCCAGUAGUCC
rnacentral:rRNA from 1 species